rnacentral:snoRNA from 1 species
GUGAUGAAUGUGUUGGUGGCCGAGCGGUGAUGGACGACGGACGGGCUGA